UCCGGUGGCGAUGCGCCUGGGGGUCACACCCGUUCCCAUCCCGAACACGAUGGUUAAGACCCAGGCGGCCGAUGGUACUUUGCUGGAGACGGCACGGGAGAGCAGGUGGCUGCCGGAA
rnacentral:rRNA from 1 species